rnacentral:rRNA from 1 species
CGCGGCCUAUCAGCUUGUUGGCGAGGUAACGGCUCACCAAGGCAACGACGGGUAGCUGGUCUGAGAGGAUGGCCAGCCACAUUGGGACUGAGAUACGGCCCAGACUCCUACGGGAGGCAGCAGUGGGGAAUCUUGCGCAAUGGCCUAACGGCUGACGCAGCGACGCCGCGUGUGGGAUGAAGCUCCUCGGAGUGUAAACCACUGUUGCCCGGGACGAAUAGCUCGAUUAAUCGAGCCUGACGGUACCGGGUGAGGAAGCACCGGCUAACUCCGUGCCAGCAGCCGCGGUAAUACGGGGGGUGCGAGCGUUGUCCGGAAUCACUGGGCGUAAAGGGCGCGUAGGUGGUUUGAUAAGGGUGUGGUGAAAGUCCGGGGCUCAACCCCGGAUCUGCCGUGCCGACUGUCAAACUCGAGGACUGUAGAGGCAGACGGAAUUCCGGGUGUAGCGGUGGAAUGCGUAGAGAUCCGGAGGAAGACCGGUGGCGAAGGCGGUCUGCUGGGCAGUUUCUGACACUGAGGCGCGACAGCGUGGGGAGCAAACAGGAUUAGAUACCCUGGUAGUCCACGCCGUAAACGAUGGGUACUAGGUGCCUGGGGGAGCGACCCUCUGGGUGCCGGCGCUAACGCAGGAAGUACCCCGCCUGGGGAGUACG